rnacentral:miRNA from 11 species
UAACAGUCUCCAGUCACGGCCA